rnacentral:tRNA from 1 species
GAGGUUGUGGUUCAGUGGAAGAGCACUUGCCUUGCAUGCAGGAGGCAUUAGGUUUGAUCCUCACCACCACA